AUCCUCUUUAUGUCUUCUAAAACACUGUAAAUAUACAAAACCCAACUUCUGUAGAUCCAAAACAUAACUCUAGUGCAACAAAAUUUGAAGUCUUAGAUUCAACAACUCUAAAUCAGUAGAUUAGUAAAAUUAAGCUACCAGAGAUCAAAUAUAUAUCAGAUCCGAAGCUAACAUCCAAAUGAAUAAAACCUUAACCCUAAGAAUACGAAGCAGAACCAAAACUUAGCUCUAUGAAAUCCGAGAAUCGGAAACUUUACCUGCAAAUCCUCGGAGGCCAGCA